UGGGUUGUGGCUCAGCGGAAGAGCACUCACCUAGCACAUGAGAGGCUCUGGAUUCUAUCCUCAGCACCACAU
rfam:Ictidomys tridecemlineatus contig065402, whole genome shotgun sequence.